rnacentral:lncRNA from 1 species
UUAAACCACAUUAUCCUUACCUAGCCUAGUUUAGGACCAUCCAUACCCUUGUUCUUGAAGCAUAGUAAAGUAUGAGUCAAAUUGAAUUCCUUUUGAUUAAUGUAUGGCAGAAAACAAGUGUGGGGGAAGUGAUUCUUGUGUGUGUGUAUGCCAAAAUCAUUCAUAAGGCACGAGUAGAAAAGAAAGAUUCGUGAAAAAUAGAAUGAAAAGAAGAAGAGCUGUGAAGAGAAAAGGAGUUGAAAAAUAUGUGAAAAAGAGUUUUAAAGUGUUGCUUGUUGAAGAAAGGGUCCAAAACAUUGAAUUCGGCCCUAAAUAUUGCUUGAAUCUUCCCUUCGUGUUAAAAGUUGAUUACUGCAAUCUAAGUGAAUUCUAAGUUUCCAUUUCAUUACUUUUCUUGCUAUUGCUUUAAGA